rnacentral:rRNA from 1 species
GAUGAACGCUGGCGGCGUGCCUAAUACAUGCAAGUCGAGCGAACAGACGAGGAGCUUGCUCCUCUGACGUUAGCGGCGGACGGGUGAGUAACACGUGGAUAACCUACCUAUAAGACUGGGAUAACUUCGGGAAACCGGAGCUAAUACCGGAUAAUAUAUUGAACCGCAUGGUUCAAUAGUGAAAGACGGUUUUGCUGUCACUUAUAGAUGGAUCCGCGCCGCAUUAGCUAGUUGGUAAGGUAACGGCUCACCAAGGCAACGAUGCGUAGCCGACCUGAGAGGGUGAUCGGUCACACUGGAACUGAGACACGGUCCAGACUCCUACGGGAGGCAGCAGUAGGGAAUCUUCCGCAAUGGGCGAAAGCCUGACGGAGCAACGCCGCGUGAGUGAUGAAGGUCUUCGGAUCGUAAAACUCUGUUAUUAGGGAAGAACAAAUGUGUAAGUAACUAUGCACGUCUUGACGGUACCUAAUCAGAAAGCCACGGCUAACUACGUG